UUUUUUUUGACAGGAUGGGCUGGGGUUGGGGGAGGAGGAAGCAAGAAUCAAGCAGAGAAGGCGAGCUCCUUUCUGUUAAUCUAACUCAAACUGACGAGUCAUUGAGCUGACUCCAAUCAGCAGGAUCCCCUGGUCGCCUGACUCAGGCCUCCCCAAUCAGAGGUAGAGUCUGCGGUGGACGGACAGACAGGUCCGGAGAGGCUGGACCCAAGUGACCACCUGGUAAUUACUUCAACAGCAGAGCGACUCAUACAGCCAGCAGUCCACUUUGUUCUUCUAUAGAUCCUGCCUGUGGUGUUGGAUCUAACAGCUUCUUC